rnacentral:miRNA from 1 species
UUGGUGUUCCACCUUACAGUGG